UCUUCUUCUUCUUUAAGAGUUCCGGCCCCUGUUUGGCUUCCUCUAUCUCUGCUGAAUCGACUAAGCCAGCAACCGAAAAACAAAGGAUGCUCUGUUUUAGCACUGCAGAUUUUCCGGACCAGCAAUAACACCAGCCAAGCUGUCCUCAUGUUCCAUUUCUCCUUUGUGUGGCCGUUAAUCACCUCUCAACCAUCCUCACUAGCAACUCGCCAGUCGACCGAACUGUUCCAUGGUGCCGCCAUCUCGCCUCUAAGGAGCUCACGCUGUCAUUGCUCGACUUGGUCAUUGCUAGCCUGAGCAGGGCCAUCCGGAGGUGUUUCGGCGCCUCCUUAAACCGAGACCUCACCGCCUCCGCUCCGCCAUCGCUGAAGGUCUUUAACUAUUAGUUUAGUGUCUCGGGACGAAAUUGAAGAAUGCAUGAAUGAUAUGAGAUGCCAUCACGAGCCUUUGGGGCCGGACGAUGCUCCUUCAGGAAUGUCCCAAGUCAACAGAUGCCGGUUGCAGUGGAGGCUGGAUCGAUGCUCCUUUGAGGAAUGCCGUCUAGAUGUAGAUGUAGCCGUACUUGAUGGUGCGAGACGAAGCCCGGUUAAGCCGGAAGAUUGCUGACUGUUGAGUCAGCCGUGAUCGGUGGGUCAUAACCAAUUGGAACGCAUGAAUGAUUGAGAUUGAGGGGCCUGAUUAGGAGACGGAAUUGUGUGGUGCAGUAUAGGACGUAUCAUAACAAUUUAGUCUAGUAAUCGGGGCCAAUGAAUCAGUGAUGAUAUAUGUUUAUAUGUGUAUACAUGUCGAGAUAUUCCAAUGAUGCAUGAUUUCAAUACAAUUAUAUGCAAAUUGAACGGUACUGACAUGCAAGACAACCACUAAGGUUACGUGAGUUUGGCAGAGAUAUGGUUAGAUUGCAUGCGGGUGUACUUUUAUCCUAAUUGGGAUUUAGGGGAUGGACUCGCUAAGAUAUUGUCUAAUUGGUUAUUGUAUAACCAUUUUAGGUCCUUAGAUGGAGGAUUCUCAAGAGAAGUGCAAGGGUUCGCAAGAAGUAAAAGCUAGGUUUUUGUUUAGUCUCUGCUAGAUGUCAAUGAGUCUUCCGUCUAGUUUGGACAAUGGAUGAUAGUUCACCCUUUUUGUUGUAAAGAAGUCUGACAGGAUCGGAAGGGACUCUGGUCCCAUGGAUGAAGAGCUCAGAGCGUAGAUAGCUUAGAAGCUCUUCCUUUCGAAAUAGAUCCAUGUGAUGUUGGACUUUUUUGUAUAUAUAUGUUGCUGUAUUAUAAGCGUGUUUUAUGAAAAUAUCACCCUACAUUUCUAUC